rnacentral:rRNA from 1 species
CAGAAGGGAGCUUGCUCCCGGAUGUUAGCGGCGGACGGGUGAGUAACACGUGGGUAACCUGCCUGUAAGACUGGGAUAACUCCGGGAAACCGGAGCUAAUACCGGAUAGUUCCUUGAACCGCAUGGUUCAAGGAUGAAAGACGGUUUCGGCUGUCACUUACAGAUGGACCCGCGGCGCAUUAGCUAGUUGGUGAGGUAACGGCUCACCAAGGCGACGAUGCGUAGCCGACCUGAGAGGGUGAUCGGCCACACUGGGACUGAGACACGGCCCAGACUCCUACGGGAGGCAGCAGUAGGGAAUCUUCCGCAAUGGACGAAAGUCUGACGGAGCAACGCCGCGUGAGUGAUGAAGGUUUUCGGAUCGUAAAGCUCUGUUGUUAGGGAAGAACAAGUGCAAGAGUAACUGCUUGCACCUUGACGGUACCUAACCAGAAAGCCACGGCUAACUACGUGCCAGCAGCCGCGGUAAUACGUAGGUGGCAAGCGUUGUCCGGAAUUAUUGGGCGUAAAGGGCUCGCAGGCGGUUUCUUAAGUCUGAUGUGAAAGCCCCCGGCUCAACCGGGGAGGGUCAUUGGAAACUGGGAAACUUGAGUGCAGAAGAGGAGAGUGGAAUUCCACGUGUAGCGGUGAAAUGCGUAGAGAUGUGGAGGAACACCAGUGGCGAAGGCGACUCUCUGGUCUGUAACUGACGCUGAGGAGC